UGGAACAUGGAGGGAGGCAGUGUGUGUGCUUGGCUGAGGAGCCAAUGGGGCGAAGCUACCAUCUGUGGGAUUAUGACUGAACGCCUCUAAGUCAGAAUCCCGCCCAG
rnacentral:ncRNA from 1 species